UUUUACCUUAUAAUUUGUUUUUACGAAAUCAGAAAUGACAAAACCAAAGGCUUUUGUUGUGCCACCAAAACCCGGAAAUUCAACAUCAAAUUUCUCUAGGAGUUUUCCGAGGAUCAAUAUGCCUGGUAAUAUACAAUUCCCGUUGGGCAUAUGUGUUUGUUCACCAGUUCCUGACUUUGUAUUGGUCUUUGUGGAUUAGCAGAGUUCAUUUUGCUGGCCUCAACGUUGUUCUAUCACGGACCAAGGAAUAGUCACAACACCUAGUAUUGUGGGAUUCUUGGUGUCUUGAAAAUGCAAAUCAAGACGAACUGAGGAAGGCUUAUAAAGGAACUGCUAUAAUGGGUCAUCCAACAAAUAUGAAGAUCCUGAUAAGACAGGAUCCUACUGGAGCUCAGUCCUGUGAGAGAAAGAAGCAACAGCUGUCUAAGAAACUUAUAUUAUGUAAUCAAGUCAUUCCCCCCCAACCCAAUGCCACUGUCUUCGCCGAAAAACAAACUGCUUCUCAUCCCAAAUCAAGGUGAUUGUCUAUGCCCCAAGGUAACUCCACAUCUUGGUUGUACAGCCCUUAUUACUCUGAGAGGAUAUAAGGUCUGUGUGAAUGAAGUGGAUGGAAUUUUCAGUAUAUACAAAUGUAUACUCUGUGCUUAAAUGCUUUUUUGGUUCAUUGCGGGAGUAAGUGCAAGUCGUAUUGCAGUUGUAUGUGCAGUACAUAGAUGAUAAUGUCUUUUGAUGGUAUAUCAAUUUCUUGAUGCAGCUCAUUUUAUUUUAACCUUAAGGUUCAGCUCCUUCAGCUAUUUAUAAUAUAUUGAUGACCAUUUUCUGGUCCUGAAAGUAAACUCUAAUAUAGUAACCUUGCUGUAAGGGUUAGACCUCUUUGAUUGGAAUGUCAAUAAGACUAGAUAUUUUUUUCA